GACGUAGGGCGCGAGCGUUGUCCGGAUUUAUUGGGCGUAAAGAGCUCGUAGGCGGCUUGUUGCGUCGACUGUGAAAACCCGCGGCUUAACUGCGGGCUUGCAGUUGAUACGGGCAGGCUAGAGUUCGGGUAGGGGAGACUGGAAUUCCUGGUGUAGCGGUGAAAUGCGCAGAUAUCAGGAGGAACACCGGUGGCGAAGGCGGCAUCCUGGACCAAAUUCUGACGUGAGGAGCGAAAGCCAGGGGAGCAAACGGG
rnacentral:rRNA from 1 species